rnacentral:rRNA from 1 species
CUACGGGCGGCUGCAGUGGGGAAUAUUGGACAAUGGGCGAAAGCCUGAUCCAGCCAUGCCGCGUGUGUGAAGAAGGCCUUCGGGUUGUAAAGCACUUUCAGUGGGGAAGAAAGCCUUGGGGCUAAUACCCUCGAGGAAGGACAUCACCCACAGAAGAAGCACCGGCUAACUCCGUGCCAGCAGCCGCGGUAAUACGGAGGGUGCGAGCGUUAAUCGGAAUUACUGGGCGUAAAGCGCGCGUAGGCGGUCUGAUAAGCCGGUUGUGAAAGCCCCGGGCUCAACCUGGGAACGGCAUCCGGAACUGUCAGGCUAGAGUGCAGGAGAGGAAGGUAGAAUUCCCGGUGUAGCGGUGAAAUGCGUAGAGAUCGGGAGGAAUACCAGUGGCGAAGGCGGCCUUCUGGACUGACACUGACGCUGAGGUGCGAAAGCGUGGGUGGCAAACAGGAUUAGAUACCCCAGUAGUC